GACGAACGCUGGCGGCGCGCUUAACACAUGCAAGUCGAACGGAAAGGCCCUGCUUUUGUGGGGUGCUCGAGUGGCGAACGGGUGAGUAACACGUGAGUAACCUGCCCUUGACUUUGGGAUAACUUCAGGAAACUGGGGCUAAUACCGGAUAGGAGCUCCUGCUGCAUGGUGGGGGUUGGAAAGUUUCGGCGGUUGGGGAUGGACUCGCGGCUUAUCAGCUUGUUGGUGGGGUAGUGGCUUACCAAGGCUUUGACGGGUAGCCGGCCUGAGAGGGUGACCGGCCACAUUGGGACUGAGAUACGGCCCAGACUCCUACGGGAGGCAGCAGUGGGGAAUAUUGCACAAUGGGCGGAAGCCUGAUGCAGCAACGCCGCGUGCGGGAUGACGGCCUUCGGGUUGUAAACCGCUUUCGCCUGUGACGAAGCGUGAGUGACGGUAAUGGGGAAAGAAGCACCGGCUAACUACGU
rnacentral:rRNA from 1 species